UACGUAGGGGGCAAGCGUUAUCCGGAUUUACUGGGUGUAAAGGGAGCGUAGACGGCAGGGCAAGUCUGGAGUGAAAGGCAGGGGCCCAACCCCUGGACUGCUCUGGAAACUGUCCGGCUGGAGUGCAGGAGAGGUAAGUGGAAUUCCUAGUGUAGCGGUGAAAUGCGUAGAUAUUAGGAGGAAUACCAGUGGCGAAGGCGGCUUACUGGACUGUAACUGACGUUGAGGCUCGAAAGCGUGGGGAGCAAACAGG
rnacentral:rRNA from 1 species